rnacentral:rRNA from 1 species
AACGAACGCUGGCGGCAGGCCUAACACAUGCAAGUCGAACGCCCCGCAAGGGGAGUGGCAGACGGGUGAGUAACACGUGGGAACGUGCCCUAAGGUUUGGAAUAUUCCCGGGAAACUGGGAGCAAUACCAAAUGUGUCCGCAAGGAGAAAGAUUUAUCGCCUUAGGAUCGGCCCGCGUCGGAUUAGCUAGUUGGUGGGGUAAAAGCCUACCAAGGCGACGAUCCGUAGCUGGUUUGAGAGAACGACCAGCCACACUGGGACUGAGACACGGCCCAGACUCCUACGGGAGGCAGCAGUGGGGAAUCUUGGACAAUGGGCGCAAGCCUGAUCCAGCCAUGCCGCGU